GUGGCUUUUGGCAACUGUCAAAAUUGAAAGAUUGUAUCGCUCGUGAUGUCCGUUUACUUUAGACUGUCAUGGCAUUAAAAUAGUACUUUUGUGGAUGUGUUAAUAAAAGUGUCGCGUGUCAGGUACGUUCGUACAUUUUAUACAUGUACGUAUAUUUAAUUAAGUCCAUGGCUCCCCACCGUCCAGCUUGGAAGAUUCAACAAAUGUAUGGAUAAAACAUGGUAUAUAGUAUAAUACUAAUGUCGCUUGUAUUAGUCAUGUGGCUACCGUGCAUCAAGGAGGGAAUGUGGGCGAAGCCAGGACCAGUGUUUGCGAGGGACCGCAAGAAUCGAAUAUUUCAAAUAACUCCUACAGGAAAGUGUUGCGAGAACCAGUGCAUGCAACGCAAAUGUUAAAAAAUUAUACAUAUUGUUUUCGUU